UACGUAGGGUGCAAGCGUUAUCCGGAUUCACUGGGUUUAAAGGGUGCGUAGGAGGGCAGGUAAGUCAGUGGUGAAAUCUCCGAGCUUAACUUGGAAACUGCCGUUGAUACUAUCUGUCUUGAAUAUUGUGGAGGUGAGCGGAAUAUGUCAUGUAGCGGUGAAAUGCUUAGAUAUGACAUAGAACACCAAUUGCGAAGGCAGUUCGCUACACAUAUAUUGACUCUGAGGCACGAAAGCGUGGGGAUCAAACAGG
rnacentral:rRNA from 1 species